rnacentral:rRNA from 1 species
AGAGUUUGAUCCUGGCUCAGGAUGAACGCUGGCGGCGUGCCUAACACAUGCAAGUCGAGCGAAGCGAUCGAGAUGAAGUUUUCGGAUGGAUUCCUGAUUGACUGAGCGGCGGACGGGUGAGUAACGCGUGGGUAACCUGCCUCAUACAGGGGGAUAACAGUUAGAAAUGACUGCUAAUACCGCAUAAGACCACAGCACCGCAUGGUGCGGGGGUAAAAACUCCGGUGGUAUGAGAUGGACCCGCGUCUGAUUAGCUAGUUGGUAAGGUAACGGCUUACCAAGGCGACGAUCAGUAGCCGACCUGAGAGGGUGAUCGGCCACAUUGGAACUGAGACACGGUCCAAACUCCUACGGGAGGCAGCAGUGGGGAAUAUUGCACAAUGGGCGAAAGCCUGAUGCAGCAACGCCGCGUGAGCGAUGAAGGCCUUCGGGUCGUAAAGCUCUGUCCUCAAGGAAGAUAAUGACGGUACUUGAGGAGGAAGCCCCGGCUAACUACGUGCCAGCAGCCGCGGUAAUACGUAGGGGGCUAGCGUUAUCCGGAAUUACUGGGCGUAAAGGGUGCGUAGGCGGUCUUUCAAGUCAGGAGUGAAAGGCUACGGCUCAACCGUAGUAAGCUCUUGAAACUGUAAGACUUGAGUGCAGGAGAGGAGAGUAGAAUUCCUAGUGUAGCGGUGAAAUGCGUAGAUAUUAGGAGGAAUACCAGUUGCGAAGGCGGCUCUCUGGACUGUAACUGACGCUGAGGCACGAAAGCGUGGGGAGCAAACAGGAUUAGAUACCCUGGUAGUCCACGCCGUAAACGAUGAGUACUAGCUGUCGGAGGUUACCCCCUUCGGUGGCGCAGCUAACGCAUUAAGUACUCCGCCUGGGAAGUACGCUCGCAAGAGUGAAACUCAAAGGAAUUGACGGGGACCCGCACAAGUAGCGGAGCAUGUGGUUUAAUUCGAAGCAACGCGAAGAACCUUACCUACACUUGACAUCCCUUGCAUUACUCUUAAUCGAGGAAAUCCCUUCGGGGACAAGGUGACAGGUGGUGCAUGGUUGUCGUCAGCUCGUGUCGUGAGAUGUUGGGUUAAGUCCCGCAACGAGCGCAACCCUUGUCGUUAGUUACUACCAUUAAGUUGAGGACUCUAGCGAGACUGCCUGGGUUAACCAGGAGGAAGGUGGGGAUGACGUCAAAUCAUCAUGCCCCUUAUGUGUAGGGCUACACACGUGCUACAAUGGCUGGUACAGAGAGAUGCAAUACCGCGAGGUGGAGCCAAACUUAAAAACCAGUCUCAGUUCGGAUUGUAGGCUGAAACUCGCCUACAUGAAGCUGGAGUUACUAGUAAUCGCGAAUCAGAAUGUCGCGGUGAAUACGUUCCCGGGUCUUGUACACACCGCCCGUCACACCAUGAGAGUUGGCAAUACCCGAAGUCCGUGAGCUAACCGCAAGGAGGCAGCGGCCGAAGGUAGGGUCAGCGAUUGGGGUGAAGUCGUAACAAGGUAGCCGUAGGAGAACCUGCGGCUG